AUGGCCACAUCACAUUAAAACACUAGUUCCUGUAUGAUCACUGAAGUUAAGCAAUGUUAAGUCUGAUCAGUACCUAGAUGGUUAACUGCUUGGGAAUACCAGGUGCUGUAAG